rnacentral:rRNA from 1 species
GCUCCAGACUCCUACGGGAGGCAGCAGUGAGGAAUAUUGGUCAAUGGCCGAGAGGCUGAACCAGCCAAGUCGCGUGAGGGAUGACGGCCCUACGGGUUGUAAACCUCUUUUGUCGGGGAGCAAAGAGAGUCACGUGUGGCUCAUUGAGAGUACCCGAAGAAAAAGCAUCGGCUAACUCCGUGCCAGCAGCCGCGGUAAUACGUAGGGGGCGAGCGUUAUCCGGAUUCACUGGGUGUAAAGGGAGCGUAGACGGCCAAGCAAGCCAGGGGUGAAAGCCCGGGGCCCAACCCCGGGACUGCCCUUGGAACUGCAUGGCUGGAGUGCGGGAGGGGCAGGCGGAAUUCCUGGUGUAGCGGUGAAAUGCGUAGAUAUCAGGAGGAACACCGGCGGCGAAGGCGGCCUGCUGGACCGCGACUGACGUUGAGGCUCGAAAGCGUGGGGAGCGAACAGGAUUAGAUACCCGUGUACA